GGGAGGGAAAGAUCCCCUGGAGCAGAAAAUGGCAACCUACUCCAACAUUCUUGCCUGGAAAAUUCCAUGCACAGAGGAGCCUGGUGGGCUACAGUCUAAGGGGUCACAAAGAGUCAGACACUACUGAAAUGCGCACUCACAGGCAGAAAGCUUUUCAGCUGGGGCUCUUUAAAAGGAAACGUCAACAAGAGACAACUGGCUAACGUGCAGUGCGUGUCAUUCAAGAGUAACUCAGAUGAGGGCUUAGAAUUCCGGCUUACAGAGAGUCUUCAGCGGAGACCAGCACAUUUGUGGAGAAGUGACAAGACAGAGGAAAGUGAUUUUAGGCUUCCAAGGACUGCACACUGGGAAGAGAGGAAGACAUGAGAUUCCUGGUGCUGUGUCCUUUAUUCUCCUCACCCUGGAAGAAUCCACCAUGUCACAUGGAUCGGUUUGCUUUGAAUCCCGUCUGUUUAAUUGUGGUCACAGCACUGCUGGAGUUUGACCAGUUAACAACCCUA
ensembl:lncRNA